AGACUUUUUAUUUGAUGCUUGCAUCUUUAAAAAGUUGAGUGGCGAACGGGUGAGUAACACGUGGGUAACCUGCCUUAAAGUGGGGGAUAACACUUGGAAACAGGUGCUAAUACCGCAUAACCAUCAAAACCGCCUGGUUUUGAUGUUAAAGAUGGUUCUGCUAUCGCUUUGAGAUGGACCCGCGGCGUAUUAGCUAGUUGGUGAGGUAAUGGCUCACCAAGGCAAUGAUACGUAGCCGAACUGAGAGGUUGAUCGGCCACAUUGGGACUGAGACACGGCCCAAACUCCUACGGGAGGCAGCAGUAGGGAAUCUUCCACAAUGGACGAAAGUCUGAUGGAGCAACGCCGCGUGAGUGAAGAAGGUUUUCGGAUCGUAAAACUCUGUUGUCAGAGAAGAACGUGUGUGAGAGUAACUGUUCACGCAGUGACGGUAUCUGACCAGAAAGUCACGGCUAACUACGUGCCAGCAGCCGCGGUAAUACGUAGGUGGCAAGCGUUGUCCGGAUUUAUUGGGCGUAAAGGGAACGCAGGCGGUCUUUUAAGUCUGAUGUGAAAGCCUUCGGCUUAACCGAAGUCGGGCAUUGGAAACUGGGAGACUUGAGUGCAGAAGAGGAGAGUGGAACUCCAUGUGUAGCGGUGAAAUGCGUAGAUAUAUGGAAGAACACCAGUGGCGAAAGCGGCUCUCUGGUCUGUAACUGACGCUGAGG
rnacentral:rRNA from 1 species